rnacentral:lncRNA from 1 species
UUAAAUGCUUAGCUAACUUUUUUUACUCUCUUAAAAUGAAUGCAAUGAAGGCGGGUGUGUGUGGGAAGAUUAGUCUCAAAAUAUAGAUUUAUAGCAUCGUUUGACUGUAUUUUGUUUGUUCUUGAUAAUAAUGCCAUGAUAUUGUCAAGGAUUAAUAUUCACCUUUCACACUAGGGGACAUGCUGUGCAGGGCUCAGUGGCUUCCCCACCAUCACUCGUGUUUGUGGGUGGUCAAGUAGGAACUGGGAUUCCAGAAGUGCUGACUCACUGACUGUCUGACCAGCACUGUAAGUUGGCCUUUGCACCCUAGACGUAUGUUUUUGAAACAUCUGCGUGUGUCUGGGUUCCGGAUGUGAAAAAGUUCUCCCGUCCCCGCAAACCCGCCAUUACCGUUCCUCUUCUGGUUGGUGUUAUUUGAAUCACAUGGACAGCCUGAGGAAGAAGAAAUUGUAUUUCUUUCACUCAUGCCUUUUUGUUUAAUUCUGGACUGGCUUCCACAGGAUGGUUUUCAGUAUAUGCCUGCUAACACUAUGCUAUACUACACUGAAAGGGAGCGUAUUUUGAUCAGUUCUGUCACCCACCUGCUAUGCCCGUGCCUGGAGCUGCCACAGGCCGCAGGGGAUCAUCAGAUUUGA